AAAUAUAUGUGUUAAACACUAAAACAAGAGAAAAUGCGGAUUUUUUAUGAUUAAUUUUAUUGACUUAAAUUGUAAUGUGUUGAUAUUUGAGUUGUUUUAAAUAUGAAAAUCUAAAAUAAAAUAUAUUGAUAUCAAAAUAUGUUGUUUAAAAAAAAUUACAAUGAAAAAAGGAAAUAAAAAAAAUGACAUUUUUAUAGACAAAGAUGGGUUAAAGUUAUGAAAGAUAAGACAAAUAUUGAAAAUAACGUAGAGCUACUUUUUUUAGAAACAUGAAACCUAUUAGAUGGAUACAUGGCAAAAGAGCUAAGUUUGCUUUGAACAUUAUAGGAUGGGUUGAAGCACUCCAAAUGCAUGACUUUGAAUUAAAAUGGCAUAUACAAAUACUUAUUACUUAGCUACUUAUUGUAUUUUUUUUUUCAUAGUAGCCUUCUAAAGGUGACUAUGUUUACUACACCAAAUCAUUAUUGAAAGAAUCAUUUAUCCUUAUUUCAUACCUUUUUAAAAAAAAUCAAAUAUAUGUGUUAAACACUAAAACAAGAGAAUAUGCGGAUUUUUUAUGAUUAAUUUUAUUGACUUAAAUUGUAAUGUGUUGAUAUUUGAGUUGUUUUAAAUAUGAAAAUCUAAAAUAAAAUAUAUUGAUAUCAAAAUAUGUUGUUUAAAAAAAAUUACAAUGAAAAAAAGAAAUAAAAAAAUGACGUUUUUAUAGACAAAGAUGGGUUAAAGUUAUGAAAGAUAAAACAAAUAUUGAAAAUAACGUAGAGCUACUUUUUUUUAGAAACAUGAAACCUAUUAGAUGGAUACAUGGCAAAAGAGCUAAGUUUGCUUUGAACAUUAUAGGAUGGGUUGAAGCACUCCAAAUGCAUGACUUUGAAUUAAAAUGGCAUAUACAAAUACUUAUUACUUAGCUACUUAUUGUAUUUUUUUUUUCAUAGUAGCCUUCUAAAGGUGACUAUGUUUACUACACCAAAUCAUUAUUGAAAGAAUCAUUUAUCCUUAUUUCAUACCUUUUUAAAAAAAAUCAAAUAUAUGUGUUAAACACUAAAACAAGAGAAUAUGCGGAUUUUUUAUGAUUAAUUUUAUUGACUUAAAUUGUAAUGUGUUGAUAUUUGAGUUGUUUUAAAUAUGAAAAUCUAAAAUAAAAUAUAUUGAUAUCAAAAUAUGUUGUUUAAAAAAAAUUACAAUGAAAAAAAGAAAUAAAAAAAUGACGUUUUUAUAGACAAAGAUGGGUUAAAGUUAUGAAAGAUAAAACAAAUAUUGAAAAUAACGUUGAGCUACUUUUUUUUAGAAACAUGAAACCUAUUAGAUGGAUACAUGGCAAAAGAGCUAAGUUUGCUUUGAACAUUAUAGGAUGGGUUGAAGCACUCCAGACGCAUGACUUUGAAUUAAAACGGCAUAUACAAAUACUUAUUACUUAGCUACUUAUUGUAUUUUUUUUUUACUUAGUAGCCUUUUAAAGGUGACUUUGUUUACUACACCAAUUCAUUACUGAAAGAAUCAUUUAUCCUUAUUUCAUACCUUUAAAAAAAAACCAAAUAUAUGAUUAAUUUUAUUGACUUAAAUUGUAUUGGGUUGAUAAUUGAGGUUUUUUAAGUAUGAAAAUCUAAAAUAAAAUAUAUUGAUAUCAACAUAUGUUGGUUAAAAAAAAUUACAAUAAAAAAAUGAAAUAAAAAAAUGUCGUUUUUAUAGACAAAGAUAGGUUAAUGUUAUGAAAGACAAGACAAAUAUUGAAAAUAACGUAGAGCUACUUUUUUUAGAAACAUGAAACCUAUUAGAUGGAUACAUGGCAAAAGAGCUA
rnacentral:lncRNA from 1 species